GAUCUUAAGAGCUUUCUUGCUAAGUCCCAAACUCCAGUGUCUGGUUUUUCCAUGUUUCAAAUACUGCCUAUUUAGCCAAGGCAGCUCCUAUCACACCUUAGCUUUAUUCAGGCACCUGGACUUUCCAGUAUUGGUUUCCAAAGCCAUCAGCAUACUUGAUUCCUUGCUUCUAGCCAUCUUCCUGUGGAGGAACUACUUAUUGUCCUCUUCUGCUCUAUUCCCGCCCCUGCAUUGCCUUAUAGAUGACACCAGGUAAGAAAAACUACAAAAAACAGGGCCAUUCUUAGUCCCCUAGAACUAAUACUCAGUACUACAGGUACCAGGUUGCAUCUAUAUAAAACUUUAUUUCAUCUUCUUGCUCUCCAGCAGACCUUAACAGUUACAGCGCUGUAGCUGAGUUUUAAAUAUUGUUUUUUUCAUUCAGCUAUUUGCCCAACAUUUACUUACUACCUUAAUGUGUUUUUUUUUUUCCUUGCUGAGCACUAAAGAGGGUACCAAAACUUCAAGAGUAUUUUGAAGGAACUACAGGAUGAUGAUAUUACAAGUGUACGUCACCACAACCAGUUUACAAACACACUUUUUGAAGCACACUUUUGAAGAUGACUAGAGGAUUAUUUCCAUUUGACAACAGUACUAGUUAAAAAAAUCAAUGUUUAAUACAAAACUAUGAACACUACUUAGUGAAUGCUAACAUAAAAGUGUUCUAUUCUAAAAAAUUGUUCCCUUGAGAUAGAGAGAUGGCCCAGUGUGUAAAAGAAAGUAUGAAUGACCUGAGUUUGAAUCCCUAGUAUCCAGAUUAAAAACAAAACAAAACAAAAAC
rnacentral:lncRNA from 1 species